GAUGAACGCUUGCGGCGUGCCUAAUACAUGCAAGUCGAGCGAACAGAUAAGGAGCUUGCUCCUUUGACGUUAGCGGCGGACGGGUGAGUAACACGUGGGUAACCUACCUAUAAGACUGGGAUAACUUCGGGAAACCGGAGCUAAUACCGGAUAAUAUUUCGAACCGCAUGGUUCGAUAGUGAAAGAUGGUUUUGCUAUCACUUAUAGAUGGACCCGCGCCGUAUUAGCUAGUUGGUAAGGUAACGGCUUACCAAGGCGACGAUACGUAGCCGACCUGAGAGGGUGAUCGGCCACACUGGAACUGAGACGCGGUCCAGACUCCUACGGGAGGCAGCAGUAGGGAAUCUUCCGCAAUGGGCGAAAGCCUGACGGAGCAACGCCGCGUGAGUGAUGAAGGUCUUCGGAUCGUAAAACUCUGUUAUUAGGGAAGAACAUACGUGUAAGUAACUGUGCAUGUCUUGACGGUACCUAAUCAGAAAGCCACGGCUAACUACGUGCCAGCAGCCGCGGUAAUACGUAGGUGGCAAGCGUUAUCCGGAAUUAUUGGGCGUAAAGCGCGCGUAGGCGGUUUUUUAAGUCUGAUGUGAAAGCCCACGGCUCAACCGUGGAGGGUCAUUGGAAACUGUAAAACUUGAGUGCAGAAGAGGAAAGUGGAUUUCCAUGUGUAGCGGUGAAAUGCGCAGAGAUAUGGAGGAACACCAGUGGCGAAGGCGACUUUCUGGUCUGUAACUGACGCUGAUGUGCGAAAGCGUGGGGAUCAAACAGGAUUAGAUACCCUGGUAGUCCACGCCGUAAACGAUGAGUGCUAAGUGUUAGGGGGUUUCCGCCCCUUAGUGCUGCAGCUAACGCAUUAAGCACUCCGCCUGGGGAGUACGACCGCAAGGUUGAAACUCAAAGGAAUUGACGGGGACCCGCACAAGCGGUGGAGCAUGUGGUUUAAUUCGAAGCAACGCGAAGAACCUUACCAAAUCUUGACAUCCUUUGACAACUCUAGAGAUAGAGCUUUCCCCUUCGGGGGACAAAGUGACAGGUGGUGCAUGGUUGUCGUCAGCUCGUGUCGUGAGAUGUUGGGUUAAGUCCCGCAACGAGCGCAACCCUUAAGCUUAGUUGCCAUCAUUAAGUUGGGCACUCUAAGUUGACUGCCGGUGACAAACCGGAGGAAGGUGGGGAUGACGUCAAUCAUCAUGCCCCUUAUGAUCUGGGCUACACACGUGCUACAAUGGACAAUACAAAGGGCAGCGAAACCGCGAGGUCAAGCAAAUCCCAUAAAGUUGUUCUCAGUUCGGAUUGUAGUCUGCAACUCGACUACAUGAAGCUGGAAUCGCUAGUAAUCGUAGAUCAGCAUGCUACGGUGAAUACGUUCCCGGGUCU
rnacentral:rRNA from 1 species